rnacentral:rRNA from 1 species
AGGGAAUCUUCCGCAAUGGGCGCAAGCCUGACGGAGCAACGCCGCGUGAGUGAUGAAGGCCUUCGGGUUGUAAAACUCUGUCUUCUGUGAAGAACCAUCCUGUGCAGAGGAAGCUCAGGACCUGACGGUAACAGAGGAGGAAGCCCCGGCUAACUACGUGCCAGCAGCCGCGGUAAUACGUAGGGGGCAAGCGUUGUCCGGAUUCACUGGGCGUAAAGCGCGCGCAGGCGGUCUCUCACGUCCGGGGUGAAAGCCCAGAGCUCAACUCUGGGAUUGCCUUGGAUACGGGGAGACUUGAGGAUCGGAGAGGCAAGGGGAAUUCCACGUGUAGCGGUGAAAUGCGUAGAGAUGUGGAGGAACACCUGUGGCGAAGGCGCCUUGCUGGCCGAUUUCUGACGCUGAGGCGCGAAAGCGUGGGGAGCAAACAGGAUUAGAUACCCUGGUAGUCCACGCCGUAAACGAUGAGUGCUAGGUGUUAGGGGGCCCACCCCUUAGUGCCGAAGCUAACGCAUUAAGCACUCCGCCUGGGGAGUACGGUCGCAAGACUGAAACUCAAAGGAAUU